UAGAAUCAAGCUUAGCUGUUAGCUGUAAAUAUUUAUUCCCCUGAAUCAAACUUUGACUCUAAACGCUUCUACCAGACAUAAAAACACCAGUCAGCUGACCCUAGGAGACAGAAAGUGAAACUUUGCUGAACUCCUUCAGAUCAGCUCCAUUUUGAGACGGGAGGACGAAAAUCUUGUCUUCGCUUGUUAACAGAGGCUGACUAAAGUCCAGAAAAUGGGGAAUAGUCAUCUAAAGGAGAACAGAGCAGAACCUCCAGGUUCCAGCUGUCCGUCUAUGAGGAGUGACUGGUCCAAAGAUAAACCUCCAUACUUCAGUGAAGAACCUGGACCAUCAGACUCAGAAACAGGACCAGGACUGCUGGCAGCCAAUCAGAGCA